UACGUAAGGCGCGAGCGUUGUCCGGAAUCAUUGGGCGUAAAGAGCUCGUAGGCGGCCUGUCGCGUCUGCUGUGAAAUCCCGGGGCUUAACCCCGGGCGUGCAGUGGAUACGGGCUGGCUGGAGGCAGGCAGGGGAGAACGGAAUUCCCGGUGUAGCGGUGAAAUGCGCAGAUAUCGGGAGGAACACCGGUGGCGAAGGCGGUUCUCUGGGCCUGUACUGACGCUGAGGAGCGAAAGCGUGGGGAGCGAACAGG
rnacentral:rRNA from 1 species